UAUUAUUAAAUUUAUAAUUAAAUUUUUAAUGUAGUAAUUUAUAUUAAAUGAAAUUUAAAGAAUUUGGCAGUAUUUUAUUCUAUUUAGAGGAACUUGUUAUAUAAAUGAUAAUCCACAUUAUAUUUUACUUAAUUUAAUUAAUUUGUAUAUCGUUGUCAAAAAUUUAUCUUUUAAGAGUUUUAAUUUUUAAAAUUGUAAAUGAACAAAUAUGUCAAAUCAAGGUGUAGUUUAUAAUUAAGAAAUAAAUGAGUUACAAUAAUAAUAAUUAUACGAAUUGUACAUUGAAAUAUUAACAUGAAGGUGGAUUUAACAGUAAAUUUUAAUAUAUAUUAAAAUUGAAAUUAGUUUGAAAUAAGUACAUAUUGCCCGUCACUUUCAAUUAGAAAUAA
rnacentral:rRNA from 1 species